rnacentral:rRNA from 1 species
AUUGAACGCUGGCGGCAUGCUUUACACAUGCAAGUCGAACGGUAACAGGUUAAGCUGACGAGUGGCGAACGGGUGAGUAAUGCAUCGGAACGUGCCCGAUCGUGGGGGAUAACACUUCGAAAGAAGUGCUAAUACCGCAUACGAUCUGAGGAUGAAAGCGGGGGACCGUAAGGCCUCGCGCGAUCGGAGCGGCCGAUGUCAGAUUAGGUAGUUGGUGGGGGAAAGACUCACCAAGCCGACGAUCUGUAGCUGGUCUGAGAGGACGACCAGCCACACUGGGACUGGGACACGGCCCAGACUCCUACGGGAGGCAGCAGUGGGGAAUUUUGGACAAUGGGCGCAAGCCUGAUCCAGCAAUGCCGCGUGCAGGAAGAAGGCCUUCGGGUUGUAAACUGCUUUUGUACGGAGCGAAAAGGCUCCCUCUAAUACAGGGGGCUCAUGACGGUACCGUAAGAAUAAGCACCGGCUAACUACGUGCCAGCCGCCGCCGUAA